UCAAAAGCAAAUUUUCAUAGGUACUAAAUUAGUCGCAUUCAGUACCCACUAAUAUAAUCUGAAUGCAUCAACCUCACUAGGAUUGCAUCUAUCAGGAAUCACCACUUCUAUGUGCAAUUAUGGUAUAUGACAUUAGCAGGCAACAAAUGAAAUUUGCAGAAGAAUUUAAGUUCAUAUUGCUAGCACUACCAUUAAAUUAUAAGACACAACGAAUGAAGCACAUCUAGAAAACAAAAUGAUUUACAUGCAAUAACUAAUAUGGGAGACAUAUCUAUCACAUGGUAACAAACUCAUGUACAUUGAAUACGUAGCCAAGAACUUUGUACCACAACAAAAACAGGACUUCAGAAAACAGCAUAGUAUUGGAAAUGGACAAAAUCCAACAAGACAAGCAUCUUUACUGCUAAGACAAGAUCAAUUGGCACAGUGAUGAAUCAUAUUAAGUAUUCUUCCAGUAAGUGCAGUAAGAAGCGAGAAGAAGCAAAGUUACAUCUUUGAGGACAGAGUAGUCAUG
rnacentral:misc_RNA from 1 species